rnacentral:rRNA from 1 species
UCCUGCUCAAUGAUAUAUUAAAUAGCCGCAGUACCCUGACUGUGCAAAGGUAGCAUAAUCAAUUGGCUUUUAAUUGGAGUCUUGUAUGAAUGGAUAUAUGGAAAAUGACUGUCUUUAAUUUUUUUAUAUUAAUUUAGUUUGUAAGUGAAAAUACUUACAUAUAUAUAUAGGACGAGAAGACCCUAGAAACUUAGCAAAUAUUUUGUUGGGGCGACAGAAUUACAAAAAACUAAUUUUAUUAUACUAGACGUGUAAACAGCUAGAUUAAGUUACUCUAGGGAUAACAGCAUAAUUUUUACAGUUUGUGACCUCGAUGUUGGACUAGGGAAUUUAUUGUUUAGAAGACAAUAAAGUGUGCUCUGUUCGAGCAGUGCUUCCUACGUGAUCUGAGUUCAGACCGGA